UGUAGCAUAGCUUAAUCUACCUAAAGCGUUGGUCUUGUAAACCGAAGAUGAGGACUAAAUUACGCCUCUGCUACAA
rnacentral:tRNA from 1 species